rnacentral:rRNA from 1 species
UACGAAGGGGGCUAGCGUUGCUCGGAAUCACUGGGCGUAAAGCGCACGUAGGCGGAUCUUUAAGUCAGGGGUGAAAUCCUGGAGCUCAACUCCAGAACUGCCUCUGAUACUGGGGAUCUUGAGUCCGGAAGAGGUAAGUGGAACUGCGAGUGUAGAGGUGAAAUUCGUAGAUAUUCGCAAGAACACCAGUGGCGAAGGCGGCUUACUGGUCCGGUACUGACGCUGAGGUGCGAAAGCGUGGGGAGCAAACGGG